UACGAAGGGGGCUAGCGUUGCUCGGAAUCACUGGGCGUAAAGGGUGCGUAGGCGGGCCUUUAAGUCAGGGGUGAAAUCCUGAAGCUCAACUCCAGAACUGCCUUUGAUACUGAAGAUCUUGAGUUCGGGAGAGGUGAGUGGAACUGCGAGUGUAGAGGUGAAAUUCGUAGAUAUUCGCAAGAACACCAGUGGCGAAGGCGGCUCACUGGCCCGAUACUGACGCUGAGGCACGAAAGCGUGGGGAGCAAACAGGG
rnacentral:rRNA from 1 species